UAAUUUCAACAUGUCCUUGUGGGAUGAUGGGAAAGAGCCUCUUUGUGUGCCUGUCUAUGUAGUUUGCUGCUUGACAGAUAUCUCAAGAGUCGCCAUAUGCAGUACGAAGAAUUGGACAACGUACUAUCGGAUCUUCAUCGGUUUUCAGGUGAGAAUUAUUUUUGAUGAGUUUCAGAGUACUUCAAGAAGUUGGAAAACAACCUUUGGUCUAGGAGAAAGUCCUACCAAUUGUGAGUGAAUCCAUUAAAGAAUGAAAUUGGCUGAUGUGAUUGGAAAGAGAAAUGUUUAGAAAUAUGUGGGAUGUGGGAGACCUGUCGUUUGCUUUAUGAUUCACAGGCUGAGGAUUUCUUCAGGGGACAACUGGCUAACUAAAGAGGUCUGUGUUGCUUUCUUCUUUAAAUGUAAUGGAUGUUAUUGUGUAAAAGUAUGGGAUAAUAUUUGUAUUGUUGCGGGAGGGUUGUUUCUCUUUUUUUUUUCUAACCAAUAGUUUCAAAGAAGAGAAGAGCAUCUUCUUCUAUAGAGAAAUUGAAAUGUAAGAACCUUUCUAUUCUACUAUUCCAAAAGUAAAGAUGUUCUUGGGAUAAAGUCAGUACAAUGCAUAAUUUCAACAUGUCCUUGUGGGAUGAUGGGAAAGAGCCUCUUUGUGUGCCUGUCUAUGUAGUUUGCUGCUUGACAGAUAUCUCAAGAGUCGCCUUAUGCAGUACGAAGAAUUGGACAACGUAUUAUUGGAUCUUCAUCGGUUUUCAGGUGAGAAUUGUUUUUGAUGAGUUUCAGAGUCUCUCAAGAAGUUGGAAAACAACCUUUGGUCUAGGAGGAAGUCCUACCAAUUGUGAGUGAAUCCAUUAAAGAAUGAAAUUGGCUGAUGUGAUUGGAAAGCGAAAUGUUUAGAAAUAUGUGGGAUGUGGGAGACCUGUCGUUUGCUUUAUGAUUCACAGGCUGAGGAUUUCUUCAGGGGACAACUGGCUAGCUAAAGAGGUCUGUGUUGCUUUCUUCUUUAAAUGUAAUGGAUUUUAUUGUGUAAAAGUAUGGGAUAAUAUUUGUAUUGUUGCGGGAGGGUUGUUUCUCUUUUUUUUUUCUAACCAAUAGUUUCAAAGAAGAGAGAAGAGCAUCUUCUUCUAUAGAGAAAUUGAAAUGUAAGAACCUUUCUAUUCUACUAUUCCAAAAGUAAAGAUGUUCUUGGGAUAAAGUCAGUACAAUGCAUAAUUUCAACAUGUCCUUGUGGGAUGAUGGGAAAGAGCCUCUUUGUGUGCCUGUCUAUGUAGUUUGCUGCUUGACAGAUAUCUCAAGAGUCGCCUUAUGCAGUACGAAGAAUUGGACAACGUAUUAUUGGAUCUUCAUCGGUUUUCAGGUGAGAAUUGUUUUUGAUGAGUUUCAGAGUACUUCAAGAAGUUGGAAAACAACCUUUGGUCUAGGAGGAAGUCCUACCAAUUGUGAGUGAAUCCAUUAAAGAAUGAAAUUGGCUGAUGUGAUUGGAAAGAGAAAUGUUUAGAAAUAUGUGGGAUGUGGGAGACCUGUCGUUUGCUUUAUGAUUCACAGGCUGAGGAUUUCUUCAGGGGACAACUGGCUAGCUAAAGAGGUCUGUGUUGCUUUCUUCUUUAAAUGUAAAUGUUAUUGUGUAAAAGUAUGGGAUAAUAUUUGUAUUGUUGUUGCGGGAGGGUUGUUUCUCUUUUUUUUUCUAACCAAUAGUUUCAAAGAAGAGAAGAGCAUCUUCUUCUAUAGAGAAAUUGAAAUGUAAGAACCUUUCUAUUCUACUAUUCCAAAAGUAAAGAUGUUCUUGGGAUCAAGUCAGUACAAUGCAUAAUUUCAACAUGUCCUUGUGGGAUGAUGGGAAAGAGCCUCUUUGUGUGCCUGUCUAUGUAGUUUGCUGCUUGACAGAUAUCUCAAGAGUCGCCAUAUGCAGUACGAAGAAUUGGACAACGUAUUAUUGGAUCUUCAUCGGUUUUCAGGUGAGAAUUGUUUUUGAUGAGUUUCAGAGUCUCUCAAGAAGUUGGAAAACAACCUUUGGUCUAGGAGGAAGUCCUACCAAUUGUGAGUGAAUCCAUUAAAGAAUGAAAUUGGCUGAUGUGAUUGGAAAGAGAAAUGUUUAGAAAUAUGUGGGAUGUGGGAGACCUGUCGUUUGCUUUAUGAUUCACAGGCUGAGGAUUUCUUCAGGGGACAACUGGCUAGCUAAAGAGGUCUGUGUUGCUUUCUUCUUUAAAUGUAAUGGAUUUUAUUGUGUAAAAGUAUGGGAUAAUAUUUGUAUUGUUGCGGGAGGGUUGUUUCUCUUUUUUUUUUCUAACCAAUAGUUUCAAAGAAGAGAAGAGCAUCUUCUUCUAUAGAGAAAUUGAAAUGUAAGAACCUUUCUAUUCUACUAUUCCAAAAGUAAAGAUGUUCUUGGGAUCAAGUCAGUACAAUGCAUAAUUUCAACAUGUCCUUGUGGGAUGAUGGGAAAGAGCCUCUUUGUGUGCCUGUCUAUGUAGUUUGCUGCUUGACAGAUAUCUCAAGAGUCGCCAUAUGCAGUACGAAGAAUUGGACAACCUAUUAUUGGAUCUUCAUCGGUUUUCAGGUGAGAAUUGUUUUUGAUGAGUUUCAGAGUACUUCAAGAAGUUGGAAAACAACCUUUGGUCUAGGAGGAAGUCCUACCAAUUGUGAGUGAAUCCAUUAAAGAAUGAAAUUGGCUGAUGUGAUUGGAAAGAGAAAUGUUUAGAAAUAUGUGGGAGACCUGUCGUUUGCUUUAUGAUUCACAGGCUGAGGAUUUCUUCAGGGGACAACUGGCUAGCUAUAGAGGUCUGUGUUGCUUUCUUCUUUAAAUGUAAUGGAUUUUAUUGUGUAAAAGUAUUGGAUAAUAUUUGUAUUGUUGUUGCGGGAGGGUUGUUUUUCUUUUUUUUUCUAACCAAUAGUUUCAAAGAAGAGAAAAGAGCAUCUUCUUCUAUAGAGAAAUUGAAAUGUAAGAACCUUUCUAUUCUACUUUUCCAAAAGUAAAGAUGUUCUUGGGAUAAAGUCAGUACAAUGCAUAAUUUCAACAUGUCUUUGUGGGAUGAUGGGAAAGAGCCUCUUUGUGUGCCUGUCUAUGUAGUUUGCUGGUUGACAGAUAUCUCAAGAGUCGCCAUAUGCAGUACGAAGAAUUGGACAACCUAUUAUUGGAUCUUCAUCGGUUUUCAGGUGAGAAUUGUUUUUGAUGAGUUUCAGAGUCUCUUAAGAAGUUGGAAAACAACCUUUGGUCUAGGAGGAAGUCCUACCAAUUGUGAGUGAAUCCAUUAAAGAAUGAAAUUGGCUAAUGUGAUUGGAAAGAGAAAUGUUUAGAAAUAUGUGGGAUGUGGGAGACCUGUCGUUUGCUUUAUGAUUCACAGGCUGAGGAUUUCUUCAGGGGACAACUGGCUAACUAAAGAGGUCUGUGUUGCUUUCUUCUUUAAAUGUAAUGGAUUUUAUUGGGUUAAAGUAUGGGAUAAUAUUUGUAUUGUUGUUGCGGGUUUUUUCUCUUUUUCAGGAGGAGAUGUGAUUGGAAAGAGAAAUUUCUGUAAAUAUGUGGGAAACCUGUUUUUCCUUUAUGGUUCACAGGCUGAACAUUUCUUCAGGGGAGAUCUGGCUAACUAAAGAGUUCUGUGUUGCCUACAUUUUUUAAAUGUAAUCUUUUUUAGCGUCAACAAGCAUGGAUUGCUAGUGGAUUGUUGUUUUGGGAGACCUCUGUGGACAGGUUGAGGAUUGGGUUUAUUAUUGCAUUGUUGUUUCUCCUGUUUUACAGAUUAGCUUCAAAGAAGAAAGAACACCUUGUACAGAAAGAAGAAUUGGUAAGUGGAAGAUGUUAAAGAAAGAUGGACCAUGAAAACCUUAUUUUUGUCUAUACAUCAAAAUUCUUUCAGGUGUUAAUUCUAACAAUGCUUAAUCACUACUUUUUGGCAAGUUUCAAAACGAGCGCAAUCAAUAAAUUUUAUUGUAUUGUUGUUUUAGUAGAAUUUUUCACCGUGGAGAGAAGACAAUCUACCAACACAGAGCCCAGAACUGGUAAUGGUCUCUCUGUUCCUAUAUUAGAAAUCUUUUACGCAAAAAUUAUUGCAUAUAUUUUAAUGUGUACCAAGUUCUGAUUUCACACUGUAACAUAACUUAUUAUGAUCUAAUAUUCAUGGUCCCACCACUGUCCAGACUUGUUUCACUUAGUUAAAUAGCUAUAAUAUAUAUUAAUUGUUACAAUUAUUAAAUGAGGAUUUUUCUUUCAAAUAUUGGUUGUCAUGCUUCUCUAGGUAUUUGAUGGGGCAAGCUAACUCACUCCUCAUAAUUUUGUUACCUAUGCGUGACAAAAUGCCUUUUGUCACUGGAUUUUUAAAUGACCAACUGCCCUUUGCCCUUGGCUGUUGGAGGAGCCUGAUUGCCAGCCUCCUCCCUCGUGACUGUGGCCCUGGGGUGUAUUGCCAUUUAAAAAGACUAUUUGGGGCUUACUGGCUUCUAAAAGACUGUUUCUGCCCAUUUGAAUCCAUGGGAAUAUGUGUCUCUUCCCCUCCCUCGUUUCCUGUCUAUUGUUCCAGCAGGGCGUUGUCCCAGGCACACUGCCAGACCAGUUGGAACUUGCUGUUGCCCCUCCUCUGUCUCUCAUCAGCUCUUGCCAUGUUUUAAAGGACCACUCUAGGCACCCAGACCACUUCAGCUUAAUGAAGUGGUCUGGGUGCCAGGUCCCUCUAGGAUUAACCCUUUUUUUUAUAAACAUAGCAGUUUCAGAGAAACUGCUAUGUUUAUACUGAGGGUUAAUCCAGCCUCCAGAGCCUCUAGUGGCUGUCUCAUUGACAGCCGCUAGAGACGCUUGCGUGCUUCUCACUGUGAAAAUCACAGUGAGAGCACGCAAGCGUCCAUAGGAAAGGAUUGUAAAUGCUUUCCUAUGCGACCGGCUGAAUGCGCGUGCGCAUUCAGCCGAUGACGUCGCGAGCAAGGAGGAGAGGAGGAGUACAGCUCCCCGCCCGGCGCUGGAGAAAGGUAAGUGUUUAACCCCUUCCUCUCUCCAGAGCCCGGCGGGAGGGGGUCCCUGAGGGUGGGAGCACCCUCAGGGCACUAUAGUGCCAGGAAAACAAGUAUGUUUUCCUGGCACUAUAGUGGUCCUUUAACUCCAUGGCGAUUUGACUGUGUUUGUGGCAUCUGAGCACUGUUCGGAUAUAGUGAGCGCCCAAAUCCAAGCUAUCUGGGGAUAGGUUGAAUGUGGGGGUUCUGUUAAGUAUAAUAGGAAUUAUGUAUUUUUAUGUGUUUUUACUGUUGUUGUGAAUAGAGCUAUUUUCUGUAUGCUGGAGGUUAUUGACUUACCACACCCAAGCCAUUCUUGCAGAUGGUCACAAAGGGACUUUCAACUAACUUUUGACCCACUGGACCAAUUUGUAUGAUUUUGGCGUAUGUUUGUAUUUGGAGUAUGCUGAUUUUGAAAAUGUAUGUGAAUGUGAUGUAUACUUUCAGAGUUAUGAAUAUUGUGUAAAACUGUGUAUUUUCCUGCCUGUGAUAAUUAAGUUAGACCAUUGUGUUCAGUAAUUAUAUCACAGGCAGAGGGGAGGUUUUUGUGUGGGGAUGUCUGAGUGUAUUGUAUGUAUUGAUUGGUUGUUCUGCAAAACACUGUGGGCAGUACUGUGUGUGUAAAAUGUGCAUAAAAGCAGAAUGUUUGAUUAAAAGCUACAGUUCUUCUUCACCCUCACACGUAGUCUUGUUUCGUGAUUGGAGGGCACAACUAAACUCACACUGGGGAUUGCUAUGCUCUGCAUACUCCCCUGAGCUGUAAUCACUUAGCUCUUUUAAGAGCUUGUUCCUGUUACGCUCUCCUGGAGAAGAGGUCUUCACCACAAGGUCCUGGAGGACAAAAGUUGAUCCAGGGUGGACGAGGACGGUGAGACUCCAGUUAAGCUACGGUGGUUGUGGUGUCUGGUGUGGUGCUUGUGGUCCUCGGCGCAAGCUAGGAAGCGUCCAUCAACGGAAGGGCUUAUAUGAUACUUGCCAUUGCAAACCUGGAGGCCACAGUCCCUAGUUGUAAAUUUCAACUAUCCAGGGCAAAAUUUACACUCGCUAAUGGUUAACCCCUUAAGGACCAAACUUCUGGAAUAAAAGGGAAUCAUGACAUGUCCCACAUGUCAUGUGUCCUUAAGGGGUUAAAGGAAAGUGGGAAUAUUGAGCUCUGUGUAGCAUAUAAAUCAGUGAGACACGAGGUCUCUAUAAGGAGGCAAGUAAAGUAACCUUUAAAUUGUAAGCUCACAGUCUAUCUUGACAAGUACUUUGUAGAAAAGAGCUUUAAUGGCUAGAUCUCAAGUCAUGGGCAGGGCCUUCAUUACCGUUUGUAUUGAUUUGUGUUUAUUUUACUGUCCUGUUUCUCAUUUGAACAGCUCUGUGGAAAAUGUUAGUUUUUAAUAAAUGCAUUCAUUAUAUGAUCUAAUUGAUGGUGUCUGGCCUUCCAAAUGAAAAUAAUGAUGACAAUCUUUUAGUAGAAUGAUUUGUUUUAGUUAUGUUAAAAACAUUGUGUGGUUAUUAUGAAAUGGUAACCAGAAUUAGUUCAUGUAGACAAUUAAUUUCCGUGUAUAUGUUCUACUGCCAGGCUGGGAACCUUAUGCAUGAAUAUCUGAAACAGCAGCAUCAAACACAGCCCGAAUCAUGUAGACAGUGGGUGCAAAGUCAAGAUAUCCAUGCGUUAAAGGAGAAGAGACUAAACUUUAUUGCUGGAAUUUGAAACAACAUCAAACACAGCCAGAAUCACAUACACAUAGGGAGCUGAGUAGAGAGAUUUGUGGGUUCAUGGAGCAGAGGUUUAACAUUACUGCUCAUUGAAGAAACAAGAUUAUGGCUCAAGAUUAUGCAAAAAAGACUUUUGGUCACAUUUUUCAUCAAAGUCAUCGUUUGGGAUUUACUUUCUACUUCUAAAUGUCUUUUGAGAACAUUUAUGGAACUUUAUUUUUCUGAAUUAAGAAAUUAAACUGUCAUGUUAUCUAAUGUUAUAGUCAUUUGCAAUUUAAUUCUAAGGCUGGAAAUGAUUGGGUAUCACUAAGAAAUAAUUACAGUUUUAAAAAGAAAAGACAAUUCAAAUGAGAACAAAAUACAUUAAAAUGUUAUCAAUGAAAUCUAAUGUUUUAGAAUUUUUUUUAAUGAACAUUUUAUGUAUAUGAAAACUUUGACUGCAGUUUGACAGACAAAUAAUCAGAUAUUCAGGUCCAUUUUAUGGAAAAAGAGAAAGAAAACAGCGCUAAAUUGCCACAAUAAAAUUAUAAGAAAGGCAGCAAUCCUCAAAGGGGAGUCCCCAAUAAUCCCCUAAUGAUAACAGAUAGCAAGAACAAACAUAGAUAUAAGGAUGCGCCUAAAACUUGAUAAAAUAAAAGACUAAAUUAGUCAGAUAAAAUACAGAAUAAAAUAAGUAAUAAAACAAUAGUCCAAUAAAAUAGGCUUAUCACAGUCCGUGAGGGUAGGUCCCACUUGUAAAGGAAUAUUCUUUAGGGUGUAGGUGGGAUCAUAUCUUCAAAUGUUGAGAAUUCAGCAUAUGUGGAGAGAAAAAUAAAAACAGGACUCCAAUGGCACAGUAAAUCGGUGUAUAAAAUAAAUAUAAAGGUAUAAAAUCAGUCUUACUCACACUUUUCAGAGCUAGGAUCAGCUCUGAUAUUGCUCGCGUAAAGUGGAAUAAUCCCCACUUCAAGGAUAUAUGGAGUAAAUGUUGAUUGUUGAAUAUCUGACGUGGGUUCAGCGUUCAAUUUGACGUGAUACGACCCAGAGGAAAAAAUGAAAUAAAAUAUAUAGUGCUCACUGUAUGUAAUAAAAUUAAAAGAAAGUAAAGUAUACUACUCACGUAAAGUAGAGCAGACUCAAAACUGCUCAGUGAAGGCGCUCAGGUGGUAUAAUCCCCACCUAUGGAUUCUUUGCACUUCCUGCAGGGUGAGCCGUAUACGUAAAAGCAAUAAAAGAAAAUGUAUGUAAAAUCAGGUAAAGGAAAAAGCAAAUGGCAAUAAAGUAUUUUAUGCCAAUAAAAUAUCUUUAUUAUAGAGUUAAGAACAAAAUCUAUUAAUAUCUAAACGCGUUUCGCCUUAACAGGCUUCUUCAAGUAGAUAGUGGGAAAGAGGGGGGGCAUACCUGACAUACAUAAGCUUAUAUAGUGUGUAAUAGUACUUUAAAUUUAAAAUUCCCGCCAAAAUGACGUCAUAAAAUUAGCAUAUAGAUAAUACAGGGAAGUUAUUAUAAAACAGUUAUUGCACACAUAAAAAUUGACAAUACAGUGAUAAAAAGCAUAUUUGCAUUAUUUAAAUAUUAAAACGAAGGUUAUAAUUUACUUUUUAAGUAAAAAAAUAAAGAAAACUGUCAUGUGACACGGGAUAAGAAGUACUUCCGCGUCACAUGAUGCUCUGUGGCAUAUAGUGUAAGGGGUAGCUAUCCUGCCUCAUUCAAAGGAUAAGAGGUAGAGCCGUUUAUAUGCAAGAGCAGGUAGAUGGCUGUGGCUCAGCACAUAAGUUCACUGACUGCAGGCAGACAGCUAGCCCCACAUGAGUUCGAAUGCAAUGAAGGACAACAUGACUACAAAAGCAUAGAUAUCUACACAGGCAAAAAACAGCCAGCCCCACAUGAGUUCGAAUCCAAUGAAGGACAACAUGACUACAAAAGCAUAGAUAUCUACACAGGCAAAAUAAAAUAUAUAUAAUGAAUUAAUUGAAUUAUUAGAAUAAUAAACAGCACGUUUUUCAUAUAUUUUCUGCAAGAACAUAGAUAAAAUUAACAAUGAUUGCACAUAUGUGCUUGUAUAAAUAAAUAAAUAUAUAUAUAUAUAUAUAAAAAAAUAUAUGUUUGUAAUAUAAUAGAAUAUAAAAUAAAAUUAUAGUAGGUAGGAUAGUAUAUAUACAUAUAUAUUUAUAAAGGCACUUUUCAAUAUAAGUUAAAAAGGGGGAAGAGGAGAGUAAAAAACAAUCCUUAAAAGGGUAUCCUUAAAAAAGCAGCAAUAUUAUAAAAAAAUAAAAAGAUCAAAAUCAAUGUUAAGGCCAGUGGGAGCGAGAGUUUUCAAGUUAUAUGCCCAUUCCAUUUCUUUUUUGCCUAAAACUUUCUUAAUGUCUCCACCUCUCCAAGGAACAUUGCAGAUAUCUAUGCCGAUGCAUUUAAGGAAUUUGGGAUUUUUUCCGUGUUGUAAAAAAUGUUUUUUUANNNNNNNNNNNNNNNNNNNNNNNNNNNNNNNNNNNNNNNNNNNNNNNNNNNNNNNNNNNNNNNNNNNNNNNNNNNNNNNNNNNNNNNNNNNNNNNNNNNNGCGACCAGGUGCCCACCGCCAUGUGUUCCGGCCCGCGCGGGGGGCGGGGGGGGGCGGCACGGAUCAAUUUUCGCACCGGGGCCCCAUGGGUCAUGUGUACGCCACUGCUUCCCAGCCACGAUAUAUGUGGGUAGGACCAGUCUGUUAGUUCUUUCCUGAGUAUAUUUAGCAUGGGGGUGAAGUUUUCCCUAUAUAGGUCUCCCUUUUGUUUGGUCAGCCAUCUACCCAGGUAGCGUAUUUUACUUUCCGCCCACUGGAAUGGGAAACUUGCUCUUAGGGGGAAGGCUCGGCUGUGGGGCAGAUCAGCGUUCAGGAUCACACACACACUUACAGUCGCAUACACACUAGCUAACAGACACGUGCGCCGUGGGUCCGUCAUACAUGGCCUCGACCCAUCUGCGCACGUAGGGUCCGAGACCCACGUGAGUAAGGAUCUGGAACAAGUACUCCCAUCUCACCCUGUCGAAGGCCUUCUCUGCAUCUGUGGACAGCAGAAGAAGGUCCUCCGUGUCUCUUUUCUUGUUAUGCAUGAGGGCAAGGGCCCUUAUGGUGUUAUCCCUCGCCUCGCGGUUUGCCACAAACCCGACCUGGUCUGGGUGGACCAGUGUGGGGAUAUGUGGCUGUAGGCGCAUAGCCAAGAUCUUUGCCAGCAGUUUGAUAUCGCAGUUGAUAAGGGAAAUGGGUCUGUAAUUCCCACAGUGCUCUACGUCCUUGCCCUCUUUCGGAAUGAUGGUUAUGUGCGCCGUCAACGCCUGCUUGGGGAAGCGGUGACCUUCUCUCACUGCGUUAAACUUGGCCAGCAUCGGUUGGUAUAGUUUGUCUGCGAAGCGUUUGUAAUAGCAGAGUGGUAGGCCAUCAGGGCCCGGGCUCUUGCUUGGUUUGGUGUGUUUUAUUGCGAGUGCUAGUUCCUCCAUGGUGAUGGGCUCAUCUAGUUGGUCUGCGACCUGUUUAUCUAAUGUGGGUAGUUUGUGUGUUAGCAUGUAUUGUUGAAUGGAAUUUCUGAGGUGAGUGGUCGCUGUUUCUGAUAGAGGUUGGGGGAGCGAGUAUAGUUCUGAGUAGUAGGCUCUCACUGUUUUCAGUAUCUCUGUUGGUAGGCGGCGUAGUGAGUCUUGUUUGUCUCUCUUGAUUUUGUCGAUGUAUGUUAGUUGUCGUCGUUUUGUCAGCAUUCUGGCUAGGAGUUUGCCGCUUUUGUUGCCAUGUAUGGAAAAGAAGGCCUUGUGUCUAAUCGCGUCCCUAUGGUGUUUAGAGUGGAGUAGUGAGGUCAGUUCGCGUCGUAGUUGUAAAAGUCGUGUUUGGUGGGAUGGGUGUAGUGCUUGUUUAUGUAGCGUGUCAUGUUUGUGUAUGUCCUCUAUAAGUUUGGUGAGUCAGGUGUCUCUUUGUUUUUUGAGUUCUGCACCUUUCUGUAUGAAGUGUCCUCGUAUUACGCUCUUGUGUGCCUCCCACCUGAUUGUCGGGGAAGUGUCUUCGGGCGUAUUGUCUUGGAAAUAGUCCGUCAAGACCUUUCCGAAGUGUUCGGCUAGGUCUUGGCGUGACAGCAUGUAUUCAUUUAGUCUCCAUUUAGUUAUCGUAGGUCUGAGAAGUGGGGACCUAAGAGUGAGGGUGGUGGAGGCAUGAUCCGACCAGGUCGCCACUCCUAUGUCCGUGUCUCGUACCAACGGGAGGUGAUACUGUGUCGUGAGAAAGUAGUCUAUGCGGGUGUAUGUCCGGUGGGGAUGGGAGUAGAAAGUGAAAUCCCGUUCGUCUGGGUGAUGUGCUCUCCAGCAGUCAACUAGUCUGUGUUUGGUCAGUAGGGAUUUGAUCGCGUUGAGAUGCUGUUUGGGGAUGUGUGAUGUUCUUGUGGAACAGUCCCAGACCGGGUCCAUUGCUAUGUUUAAGUCGCCCCCCUAUUAUGAGGACCCCUUCAGCGAAGGAGUGUAAUUUGUGUAGGGUACAUUUAAGAUAGCGGUGUUGUUUAUUAUUUGGUGCAUAUAGCGUGGCGAAGGUGUAUAGGUGUUCGGCCACUGUGCCUUUUAUAAAGAGGUAUCUACCUUCUCGGUCCGUCAUGCUUGCCUUUUCCACGAAUGGAACUUUUUUGCUGAUCAGUAUUGCCGCUCCCCUAGAUUUCCCCCCAUGGAAGUCGCUGUAGUACCCUAAUGGGAAGUGGUGGUUGGUCAGCUUAGAUCUGUCCCCUUCUCGAAAGUAGGUCUCCUGUAUCAUUACUAUUGAGGCCUUCCGUGCAUGCAAGUCCCUCAGUGCCCCUGACCUUUUCUCUGGUUUGUUGAGCCCUUUGGCGUUUAUGGAGAGGAUGGUGAGGUCGCUCGGUAUCAGCGUCAUGUCAGUUGUAGUGGAGCCCGACUGUGUCGGUGUGUCCGGGGUCUGUCGGGUCGUCAGGUGGGUGGGGGGUGGGGUAGGACAGGGGAGCCGGGGAGGGGCUGGGAAGGGGAUGAGAGGAACGCGGGAGGGGGAAACUAUAUACAGAAAAGAUCCUGUCACUUGAGAGUGACGGUUUAGGAACGAGCGUCGGAGGGCAAGGCCAGGCUGGGUCCACCAGUGGUCCGCCAGGGCCCGCCCGCCUCUCUACGGGCGCUCAAUCCUAUUGGGGAAAGCAGAGGAGGCCGGGAGUCCCCGCGUAGGCUCCGUCCGGGGGGUCUGGUGUCCCGGCAGCUCCAAUGGGCAGAAGUGGUCUGGGUGCCUGGAGUGUCCUUUUAUUUUUUAAAAUUUUUUGCAAAUCUUUUUUUAUUAAACAUGUUCAGUUAACAGUAGAUUUGUGAAGAAAUAGUUUCUUUUUUCAAAAUGGUAAAUGUACAGAAUAUCGGUAUCAGUAAGUUAUCGGCUAUAGGCCUCAAAGUUCACAGAUUAUCGGUAUCUGCUCUAAAAAAUCAAUAUCGGUCGAUCCCUAAUAAGUACUAUCUAUUUUUUGUACAUCUGAAUCAUAUAUAUUUCUCCUCUUACAGAGGGGUACCUACUGAUUUAAAUAUUAUUAUUGUCUACUGUUUUCUUGUUUUAGUAAUACAUGUGUCAGAGAGGGGUUCUGUAGAUUUUUGCAGUAUUUAAUUACCCUGCCCCCUUUCUGUACUUACAUUAAACUUUCCACUUUGGGCUGCAACAUGCUGCUUCUGUAUAAAUUGAAACUGUUGCAGUUUUUCUCCCAUUUGGGAAGUUUAUGUUAUGAACAGUUACAAGAACUAGAUACAUUAUUUACUUAAGAGGUUUAUUUACAUUGAGGGGAAUUGUUUAUUCAUUUUUUGUUUCAUUGUUUAAGCUGCUGUAUUUCAUUAAAGGCACAUUUAUUAUUGUUUUUACCUAUAGGAACAUUAUUUGUUUCUUUUGUCCACUACAUUUCUGGAGCCUACAUACUAUAUAUUUUGAAUUUAAGAUUACUAUUUGCCAAGUGGCUUUUCUGUAUGUAGCUGCCCAUCUCAUUGAUUAAAUUGGUUACCACUUUUUAUCUAUUUACUAAGAAGUUAACGAUGGAGGGUCCACUUUGUGUGCUUUUUGAUACCCAUUUCACCUUAGUGAGUAAUACUGACAGAUUCCAAGUGUUGUGGACAAAAAUAUUACCCCAAUUUAUAUUACUAAAAUGCCUAUUUACUCAACAUAACUACAAUCAGCAUUAUCCAAUUUUCUAUGUGAUUUACCUAAAAUGGCUGCUAGGGAGUUUCCCCUUCAACAUCGACUAACACCCUCAUUAACAAGAUGGCGCUGGAAUCUGGGGGAGACCUCCACGAUACCAGUGACAUCACCCCCAGUAGGCAGAGCAUUAAAUGAACCACUUAACACCUAACCAAUUAUUGAUGUAUUAUUCCGUGUUAUCUCUGACAAUGCCUAUGAUGUAAUUUUGCUUUAUAAGGGGCAUAGUCCCCCCCUGAAUAAACGUUCCUCAAGUUUUUCAUUAAACCGAAACCUGUGUCUGGUGCACGCAUUAUUUCUUUAAUUUGGCCGGGGCAGAUACACAAGAUAAUCAAUUUAUUGAUUGAUAUCCAUAUCACCAAGUAUAUAUUUUAUUAGUAAGUUAUUUACAUUGCAACAGUUCCAGUGUACUGCAAUGCACUAUUCUGCUGCAGAGCAGAUAAUAUACUAUUGUAAUAAAUAAGAAUGUGCUGGUUUUCGCCAAGACACCUGGUGAGCCGUCCGUUUAGUCUCUAUUAACUUAUAAAUUAUAUUAAAGUAAUAAUAAUAGAACCUAUUGGGAACUAUUUUGUCUGUCCCUCACUGAGGUUCGCUGCGGAAGGAAACUUUAACGGUGAAACGUCUUUCGCUUACGUCACAGACAGGAGGUUAUAAUAGGCAGUGCCACGGCAACCGCUCCUUAGUCACGUCGCAGUAUCGAAGAAGGUGUGCAGCGCUCCGGACCAAGAAGAGGAUCUUCAACGGCUGAUCGCUUUUACGUCGUUAUUUCAUGUUUUACUUUUAUUUAUCAGCUGUUUUACACGCUCAGCUGUUUUACACGCUCCAUCGCCGGUUGUAGUCUCCGCAGGUAUUUCAAGCUAAAUUCCAGCUGCUCAAUAUAGAUAACACUGACCACAGCCAUAGGUUUUAUAUGUAUCCGAGGGGAUAAAAACUAGAUAAAGUAUGGAGGGGAUAAAAAUUAUAUUUAUACUGUAUGGAGGGGAUAAGUUAUAUUUAUACUGUAUGGAGGGACUAUUUAUAUUUAUACUGUAUGGAGGGACUAUUUAUAUUUAUACUGUAUGGAGGGACUAUUUAUAUUUAUACUGUAUGGCGGGGAUAAAAGGUCUACAUAUAAAUUACACGGAGGGGGUAAUAAUUCUACCCAUGUAAUGUAUUUAUUGUUAAAUCCGAUAACAGCAGCUAUACCGCCCGGUUAAUGUUUAUUAAUAUUUAUUAUGAUUGCUUUGUGGGCGGAUAGUUGUAUCGUGUUAUAAUCACGGUGUAUAAUUGGGGAUAUAAUCUGAGUAAUAUUUAAAGUCCCCGAUUAUUAUUAUUAUUAAUAGUGAGAUUACCUCACGGUCUGUGAUCCGCACGGUGUUAAUAACAUUUAAUAAAUCUCUAAACCCGUGUUAAUAAAGAUGGGGAUUAAUCCGCGUUACAGUUUAUAAUUUCCUAUAUAAACUAGAUUAGGUUUUUAUUACAGCCGGGAAUAGUGAUUAUUUAUUAUUCCGACACACAAUGUACAAGGAAUUCCCCGGUUUCUGACGACGCCCUGUUUUUACUGAUAAAGAUGGCCGCCGAGCUUCUCUGUGGGGGCGGGGAUUACUCAUUGUCGUGUAGUCAUUUUCUUUGUGACGCGCAUGCUCUGUAUUAGACCAUUGAUUGGUUCACACGGAUUAGGGGCGGGGCUAAAUGCUAAAGUAGUGGGAUGGUUUAUGUGCAGCCCUCCCACUCACUGAUCCAGACAAGGCAUUGUCUAGAUUUAUUAAACAGAAUAGUAAUUUGUCAUUAUGGUAGAAUGCUGGUGUUAUUUUGAAGCAGCUGGAAUUUAGUGAGAAUUUGUGGAGCUUUAAAAUGGUUGAUAAAUGUACAUGUGCUAAUAUUUUCUAUCAGAUUCAUUGAGCGUGGACCAUCUAAGCAUGUCAUGCAAUGGGAGUUGCCAACACAAAGACUUUGUUACAGAUAUGAACUUUCGAAAUGCUGAAAUUGAUGACCAUCACCAGCCGCCCACUUACGUUUUGAGUGUUUAUAAAAUGAGGAUUUUAUCUGAGAUCUGGUAUUUUCGUUCCGGUUUUCCAAGGGAAUGUAGCUAUUUGCUAUAACUCUAUGUGCAACUUUGUAGCAUGUCCAUAUUGUAAUGCAAGUAUUGGUUUCACUGUUCAUUAAUAAUUUAAAUUGCACAACCUGUAACUAUUUUUUGAACAUAUUGCUUACUUUUUAAUGUUCUAAUUCAUACUGCAUUUGUGUUUAGAUAACUGUAUUUAUGUAAAACUUGACCAUAAUCCUCCUUAUUUUUUAACUUCACCUCACUCCCAAGUCUGAGUUAGUUAUUUACAGUUUUUUGGUAACCAUUUAGCUAUUUUGUUUGUUUGCUUCUGUCAGCGUAUAGCUUCUCAUAAAUGAAAUCCACACCAUCCUGAAGAUUCAGCAUCCUCUGGUGGGUGGCCAUUAUGCUGUUACAACCCUUUGGUAAGCACACACUGCAUCCCAAUGGCUAGGCUGCAGACUUGGCUAUCAAGAAUUCACUGGGUCAUUAUAAGGCACCCUUUUUGGUAAGCACUCAAGUAAAAAGUUAUCCACCUGGUUUCCAAUAUUCAUCACUUGAGGGAUUUAAUUAUAUUCCUUCAAUAUGUUUACUUUAGCAGUCCAUAUCAAGUUUCCACCAAUAGCAGCUGCUUCAGCUGAGUAAUUUUUAAUUUUAGAUCUAGGCUAAUAACUUUUUUCCCCCAGUGACCGCUGAUUACUUCUCAGGCGUCAUUCUCACAAUUCCCUAUUAAUACAUAACGUUAGCAGUUUAGAAUUGUAACUAUUCUUGGUUUCCAGUUUUAAUAAAUCCCAAUAUCUUCCAACAAGACAAACUAUACUCCUAUGUAGUCUACAUCCCUUCCUAUACACGUGCUGAAAUGUGGCAAAUACUUUCACGUAUUGCCUUCAAGUAACCAUACUUUUCUGUGGUUUGUCCUGCUAGUUGUAACACAUGUGGAUGUUUUGAAUUCCUUCCUAGGUAGUUUUCUUACUACCACAGUCAGGUGUUUCUCAGUGCAUCAGAUGGUUCCUUCUGCAUAUGCUCUGGUAAAGAUGUAUUUCCAAGUAAGAUCUUUCUUUGUUGUAUUUUUGCAAUGUUUUAUGAAUGUAUAUAUUGGAAAUCUGUAAAAUUAAGUUUAAUUAAAAUGUACAGAGUUACAACUGUUUCUAUGUCUCAUUGCUGGGAGGUUAUACAAACCUUUUGGUGGUUAUCUUUCAGGUAAACGCGACAUGUCCUCACUUGUUCAUAUUGUGUUCCACCUCUAUCAAUGGACCAGAGUUCCUAAAGAUGCUAAGUACUUUACAACCUUUUAAACAAAACAAAAAAAAAACUAGUGCACAUUAAUUGGUUAUAAUGGGUACAUAUCAUUUAUUUAUUUUUUUAAAAAGUUUUAAUGGGUUGUCUUAUCAAACUGACUAUGACUUCAGUUUCUGAACAAUGUUUGGUUUAAUUUCCUUGGACAGGUUACUUGUUCUCAGUGGAGGAUGUGAACAGUCAAAGCACUAAAGUGAGCAGCAUCUCUGGCAGAUAAGUCUGUGGAAAGGUCUGCGACAUUGCAUGUAUUCUAGUAUAUUCACAACACCUGUGCAGAAUACACAUGCGGAAAACAUUGUCUUCAUAUUAAGGCGAACAUAUCCACAUAGGAGGGGCCUGGUGUAGGUGGACCAUUUUCCCAUCAGGCUGUGCUGACAUUAAGCUUAAUAUCUGGCAAAGGCAUAUCUUUCAUGUGACACUACUGGGUACUGUAUUAUCCUCAACUUGUUUUGUCAGUAGCUAUUUUUACAGCCACUAUUUUUCCAACCAUUAAAUUCAGGGUGUUAUCUCCCAUACAGGACAAAUAUAUAAUUUAUUCUCAAGUAAUGCAUGAGUUUGCAUUUUAACAGUAUCAAUUUUGUAACCCUGAAAUUGCUUGAUUUAUAGUUUAAAUAAAUCCCUUUGCAUUUAGCUAAAUGCACUGUUAUUUGCCUUCAGUUCAUACAGUGCUUUUUAAAUUUAUAUAUAUAUAUAUUUUUUAUUCAAAAUGGAUUUGGGUCAGCUAAGAUGCAGCCUUAGAUUAUAUGAACUUUAAAUAGCUGUUAUUCUUGACUCCCUUAUAGGUGACGCUUGCCAGUUCCUACAGGAAUAGAAUUUUUUUUUUUCUCCAUGCAUGUUUUUCAGAUAGUUCUUUGUUCAACAUUUUUCUUUCCUGGUUUUACCAAGCCCAUUCACCGUAGGAUGAUUUGCAGAUAACCAGCUCUUCAAAAGAAAGAUGCUUUCAAAUGAGGCUUACAUACGGUUUGACAGGGUUCUGGUCAUAUGAAGCAUUUCAAAGGUAUUCAGAUAUGUGGCUGUAUGUCACAGUUUCUAUCUUCAAAUAUGGCUAUUGUACAUAUUGCUUUUACACUCCCCCCAUCAAUAGGAAUACAUCAUGCCAUAAACCAUAUAAUAAACAUUAUUAUAGUCCCUUUUAAGUUACAAUAACUGGAUUUUCUUUCCUUUCAUGUUUUUAAAGCUGAAAUUGUUUUUGGCACUCUAGAAACCGCUUCACUGGGAGAACAUACUUCUGGUGGUCUGGUAUCCCUUGUAGGAAUUCUUGAACUGCACUAAAGUGUCUUCCAAGAAGGGUCCAUAUUAUCACAUUACUGCCAAGCAGUCUAGUUUCAAGACCCUGCCAAGAGGUCCAUAGUACCAAGUCAGUUCCAGAAGGUCCAUAUAUCAGCAUUUCUUAAGUGUUCUUCCUAGACUACAAGUUACUGAACAUUACACAAGUCUCAAAGGAAUUCAGGUAUGAGGAUUUGGAUACUAGUUAUGUGAAUGGUGAUUUCAGUUCGACAUGGAAAAUCUUGCAAAGAUCACUUUACCUAAGUCAAUAUAUGUAAAUUAGUUUUAUCAUACUGGAAAUUUUGCUGGCGAUCAUUAAACUUUUGCCUGCAACUUCAGAUAAGUCAGUUAAAUCCAGGUAACAUAUUUUGUUAGCAGGUCUGCCUGUUAACGAAGUCUCAAGUUCUAAUUGUGAUUAGCUUCAAAAUCGUUUUAAGUGAAACUCCAUUAAUACUUUGCAGUUGUGGGUCAGUGGACUUUUAUCAUAUGGGAGGGAAAACACAUUUAUAAAUAUCUCAAAUUAAUCUGUAUUUUCAUAAUUUAAUAAGUUUGUCUCAGUUUCAAAGCUUAGUAUUUCCAAAUGAUAAAUCUGAAGUACAAAGUUUAAACAAGUAAAAGUGACAAACAGAAAUCACCUAUAUAUGCGCACAUACAAAUGUGCUUACGUUAAAUAAGCUACGUUAAAUUGAAAGUUCACUAGGACUGGGCAAGCAAAAUGAUCAAAGUUAGAUGCUUUGUCAUCACCCUAUAGAUAACGGGUGCUGCCUGUCAUGGUAUGAGCUAGCUGCACAUUCUAUUCAAGUCAAUAGUUUUAAUGCAUGUAAACAUUUCUAAAUAAAGCAAAAUUGACUUAUCCUCAAAAGGAAUAGGAGCUUACUCUAAAACAAUCUCAUCUUGAGUUUCACAGCAACAAAUUCUGUUUAACAGUAGUGGUUAGAGCCAGCUUCGAUUAUACUACACAUGCAAGCGUUGUGAUGACUUGAGACAAUGCCCAAAGACUGGGGAAGAAGAGUGCUCUUUAGUAAGGUAGGUGUCUCUUGAUAGAUGCCAAUGUAAAAUGGCAGUAUGCGUGAUCUUAAAGAUCCCUAAGUACUCACAUUAAAAGAUGGUGUUUCUGUUUGAGUGAAACAUUGGGCUACUAUGAUGAGAACUUAAUGUUAAAAAAAGGUAUAUGAAAAUAUAUAUAAUUUUCUGGAUACAUCCAUGACAGCACUACAGAUGGGUAUCUUCUCCAUGUCCUUAAUUACAGCAUAACGCCUGGUCGCUAAUGGUAGAAUCGUCAAGGGGGUUUGUACAUGUACUUGUGUGCAUUGUUGGGAUAUUAUGUUGAGAACCUAAUUUUAAUAUAUACUGUUCCGUAAAGGCAGGGGACACAUUUUUGCUUAGGUCUGGAAAAACCUUUAAAAACAUUAAAUUAUAUUAACAAGGCACAUUAGUAGCAACUGAUGGCAAACUGAAAAAAAAUACAUAAAAUGAUUUCACUGAUUUAACAUGAUUUUGUUGCAUUCCAGAAUUAUGCAGCCCUGCCCUAACAUGUUGAAAGUGGAAAGGAAGGUACUAUAGAAGUAUGAUACAGGUUGGAAAUCUAAUCAUUCAUGAGAAUGGAUCAAAACACAUAAGAAAAUUAUAUUAACUCAAUGUAACUUAGGCCUGCAACUACAAUCUACCCAACUAAUUUAACUAAAGGCAUCAGUUAAGAAAAGUUACUAUAUUUAAAGAUAGUAUGAGGAACAAUAUAUUAAAUUGUGAGUGGGCAUCUUGUAUAAUUACACUACAUACACGUUUUCUAGCAGAAAUAAUGUUAAUUUGUAAUUGUCCUGUUUAUAGUUACAUCCCUCUCAUAAUAUUAUAAAGCGCUACAGAAUCUGUUGGCGCUAUAUAAAUGGCGAUAGUAAUUUAUUUACACAAAUGCUCAUUUUUAGUCAUGAUUCAUUUAGAAAUUGAUCCAAUGGUAAAAUAAUUAUAAAAUGCAGUAGUAAGGUUGUUCUUUGACCUGUGAACUAAAAUAUAAAUAAUGAGAACCUCUUUCGAAAAAAACUCUACAAAAACAUUUUUUUUAGAAAACCAUGUGUUUAAGAAAUUGGGUAUCAAGAUAAAAAAAGCCUGGCCAUGUAAAAAUUGCUUUUCAGGGUUAUAGGAUUAUAUAACCUUAAAAUAUUGCAGUUUAAGAAAUUUUUACAAAGUAUGGCUUCACUAUUGGGGAUGAAAAGAGAACAUUGCAUAAUACAGGUUUUAUUAGCAUGAAGUGGUUUGGACCCUAUUGAAAGGAAAUGUUUGUUACAUUGCAGGAAUACGAAUUUAUUAAAAGUAGGUAUGCUCAGUAUAUUACAUUAUUAAAAAAUAAAAAAAAGCAAUCCAUGAAUUCACUUCUAGUAUUUUACAAAAAAGACACAUUAAGAUGUCUGUCUGCUGUUAUAAGUGAAGGGUCAUCUGGUUUCUGUUAGGUUAACCUGAAUCAAAUAACAAACAAAAGCAUUUUCUGAACAUCAUCUGGAGACACAAAGAAGAGAAGAGUUCCUCUACCUGCAGAGAAAUGGUAAUUUGUAAGAGCCUUUCUAUUCCUAGAUUAGAAAACAAAAGAUAAGAGCAGGGGAGAAUAUCAUUGCUAAAUGCCAAAUGAAAUAAAGGGGAUUCCGAAAGAGAUGCUGACAUUACAAAACAAUCUGAGAAGUUUCCAUCAACAGAAAAAAAAAAGUUGAAUUCUUAACAAUUGUCAGGUGAGCAAUGUUCUGUUAAUUGAAAGGCUUUUCAAGGAAGAAGUUGACACUACCUAUCAUGGAUUAAGAUAAUUUCUCCAUCAUACCAUUUGUUUUUGUUUCUAUGACGAAAUGCAAAACCGUAUUUCUUUAUAACAGCUUUAUUCCAAGACUAUUUUUUUUUUUUUUUUAAAUGAUAAAAUAUAAGUCAUGAUAUUGUUGAGAUGUUUUGAUAAUGUGGAGGAUAAAUCCUCUUCUUAUUUGAUUUCCUGAGAGAUGUAUACUUGUUUUUAAGGGAAGAAGCACACACACAUAUAUAUAUAUAUAUAUAAUCUAGUUGUCUGACUGGCAUUUAUUACAAGAGUCACCAUAUGGAGAAAUGAAUCACUUGUUGAUGGAUCUUCGGUUAUUGUCAGGUGGGCAUUGUGUCCUGUUUUAAUUAGUUUCAGCGUCUCCUGAAGAGCUUUCGAAGUAACCCAAAACACAAACAAUUGUUGAAUCCAUAAAAGUAUGAAAAUUGCUGAUGUGAUGGGAGAGAAAUGUGUUGAAAUAUGUGGGAUGUGUAAGAACCUCUCUAAAACUGUAUUUUAAAAGUAAAGUUGUUUGGAGAAAUAUGUUGGUGCACUGCAUAAAUGCAGCAUGUCAUUUGGGGUAAGAGGAUAGAGCCUGUUUGUGGUGACUGGUUGCUCAGAAGCCCUCAUAUGCUGUUAGUAGAAGUGGAUCACUUGCUGGUCAAUUAUCAGGUGAGUUGUGUGUCAUCUUAAUGAAUUUCUGAGUCUAUUGAGGUUGUUGGGAAAGCAGCUUUGGGUCUAGAACAGGGUUUUCCAAACUCUGGUUAUUUUCCUCAAAUAAUCAUGUGAGUUUUGGUUUAGCAACAUCUGGAGGGCCAAGGAAUCAUAGAAGUUGUAGUUCAGCAACAUGUGGACGGGCCACAGUUUGAAGAACCCUUGUAUAGCAGGAGACUACAAAUUGUGAGUGAAUCCAUGAGUUACAGAACAUGGUUGAUGUGAUUGGAAAGAGAAAUGUAUAGAAAUGUGUGGGAGAUCUGUCAUUUGCUUUAUCAUUCACAGGCUUCAGGGAAAAACUGGCUGGCUAGGUCUCUGUUGCUUUCUUCUUUAAAUGUAAUGGAUUUUGUUGUGUAAAAGUAUGGGAUAAUAUUUGUAUUGUUGUGGCGGGAGGGUUGUUUCUUUUUUCUUUGAAACUAAUGGGUAGUGUAAAAAAAAAAAAAAAAAGGAGAAUAGCAUCUUCUAUAGAGAAAUUAAAAUGUAAGAACCUUUGUAUUCUACUUUUCCAAAAGUAAAGAUGUUCUUGGGAUAAAGUCAGUACAAUGUAUAAUUUCAACAUGUCCUUGUGGGAUGAUGGGAAAGAGCCUCUUUGUGUGCCUGUCUAUGUAGUUUGCUGCUUGACAGAUAUCUCAAGAGUCGCCAUAUGCAGUACGAAGAAUUGGACAACGUACUAUUGGAUCUUCAUCGGUUUUCAGGUGAGAAUUGUUUUUGAUGAGUUUCAGAGUCUCUUAAGAAGUUGGAAAACAACCUUUGGUCUAGGAGGAAGAACUACCAAUUGUGAGUGAAUCCAUUAAAGAAUGAAAUUGGCUGAUGUGAUUGGAAAGCGAAAUGUUUGGAAAUAGGUGGGAUGUGGGAGACCUGUCGUUUGCUUUAUGAUUCACAGGCUGAGGAUUUCUUCAGGGGACAACUGGCUAGCUAUAGAGGUCUGUGUUGCUUUCUUCUUUAAAUGUAAUGGAUUUUAUUGUGUAAAAGUAUUGGAUAAUAUUUGUAUUGUUGUUGCGGGAGGGUUGUUUCUCUUUUUUUUUUCUAACCAAUAGUUUCAAAGAAGAGAAAAUAGCGUCUUCUUCUAUAGAGAAAUUGAAAUGUAAGAAACUUUCUAUUCUGCUAUUCCAAAAGUAAAGAUGUUCUUGGGAUCAAGUCAGUACAAUGCAUAAUUUCAACAUGUCCUUGUGGGAUGAUGGGAAAGAGCCUCUUUGUGUGCCUGUCUAUGUAGUUUGCUGGUUGACAGAUAUCUCAAGAGUCGCCAUAUGCAGUACCAAGAAUUGGACAACCUAUUAUUGGAUCUUCAUCGGUUUUCAGGUGAGAAUUGUUUUUGAUGAGUUUCAGAGUACUUCAAGAAGUUGGAAAACAACCUUUGGUCUAGGAG
rnacentral:lncRNA from 1 species